CCUACGGGGGGCAGCAGUAGGGAAUCUUUCACAAUGGGCGAAAGCCUGAUGGAGCAACGCCGCGUGCAGGAUGAAGGCCUUCGGGUUGUAAACUGCUUUUAUAAGCGAGAAAUAUGAUGGUAACUUAUGAAUAAGGAUCGGAUAACUACGUGCCAGCAGCCGCGGUCAUACGUAGGAUCCGAGCAUUAUACGGAGUGACUGGGUGUAAAGAGUUGCGUAGGUGGCAUAAUAAGUAGCUAGUGAAAUCUGGUGGCUCAACCAUUCAGACUAUUAGCUAAACUGUUAAGCUCGAGACCGUUAGAGGUAACUGGAAUUUCUAGUGUAGGAGUGAAAUCCGUAGAUAUUAGAAGGAACACCAAUAGCGUAGGCAGGUUGCUGGGACGGUUCUGACACUAAGGCACGAAAGCGUAGGGAGCAAACGGGAUUAGAUACCCCUGUAGUC
rnacentral:rRNA from 1 species